GACGAACGCUGGCGGCGUGCUUAACACAUGCAAGUCGAACGGAAAGGCCCUGCUUUUGUGGGGUGCUCGAGUGGCGAACGGGUGAGUAACACGUGAGUAACCUGCCCUUGACUUUGGGAUAACUUCAGGAAACUGGGGCUAAUACCGGAUAGGAGCCCCUGCUGCAUGGUGGGGGUUGGAAAGUUUCGGCGGUUGGGGAUGGACUCGCGGCUUAUCAGCUUGUUGGUGGGGUAGUGGCUUACCAAGGCUUUGACGGGUAGCCGGCCUGAGAGGGUGACCGGCCACAUUGGGACUGAGAUACGGCCCAGUCUCCUACGGGGGGCAGCAGUGGGGAAUAUUGCACAAUGGGCGGAAGCCUGAUGCAGCAACGCCGCGUGCGGGAUGACGGCCUUCGGGUUGUAAACCGCUUUCGCCUGUGACGAAGCGUGAGUGACGGUAAUGAGUAAAGAAGCACCGGCUAACUACGUG
rnacentral:rRNA from 1 species